CCUACGGGAGGCAGCAGUGAGGAAUAUUCGUCAAUGGACGAGAGUCUGAACCAGCCAAGUAGCGUGAAGGAUGACUGCCCUAUGGGUUGUAAACUUCUUUUAUAUGGGAAUAAAAUGUUCCACGUGUGGGAUUUUGUAUGUACCAUAUGAAUAAGGAUCGGCUAACUCCGUGCCAGCAGCCGCGGUAAUACGGAGGAUCCGAGCGUUAUCCGGAUUUAGUGUGUUUAAAGGGAGCGUAGGUGGAUUGUUAAGUCAGUUGUGAAAGUUUGCGGCUCAAACGUAAAAUUGCAGUUGAAACUGGCAGUCUUGAGUACAGUAGAGGUGGGUGGAAUUCGUGGUGUAGCGGUGAAAUGCGUAGAUAUCACGAAGAACUCCGAUUGCGAAGGCAGUUCACUGGACUGCAACUGACACUGAGGCUCGAAAGUGUGGGUAUCAAACAGGAUUAGAUACCCUUGUAGUC
rnacentral:rRNA from 1 species